rnacentral:rRNA from 1 species
AGUGAACGCUGGCGGUGUGCCUAACACAUGCAAGUCGAGCGGCAACAUAGUAAGAGUGCUCCUUUACGGUUAGCGAGUGGCGGGUGGGUGAGAAGUACAUCGGCUACCUCUAUUUCGUGAGUGAUAACGGAGGGCAACUUACGCUGACACCUAACAUGUCCAACGGCUUAAAUCUAGAGAGCUUCGUAGUUUUGCUAUCUCAAAUAGCUGGCGUCGUAUUAGCUAGUUGGCGUGGUAAAGGCCCACCAAGGCAACGAUCCGUAGCUGGUCUGAGAGGAUGAUCAGCCACACUGGAACUGAGACACGGUCCAGACUCCUACGGGAGGCAGCAGUGGGGAAUAUUGGGCAAUGGGCGCAAGCCUGAUCCAGCCAUGCCGCGUGAGUGAAGAAGGCCUUCGGGUCGUAAAGCUCUUUUGUUAGGGAAGAACAGAAGUAGAUUAAUCCGCGGAUGUUCUGACGGUACCUAAACAGUAAGCAACGGCUAACUUCGUG